rnacentral:rRNA from 1 species
UGAGGAAUAUUGGUCAAUGGGCGAGAGCCUGAACCAGCCAAGUAGCGUGCAGGACGACGGCCCUAUGGGUUGUAAACUGCUUUUAUGUGGGGAUAAAGUGCGUGACGUGUCAUGCAUUGCAGGUACCACAUGAAUAAGGACCGGCUAAUUCCGUGCCAGCAGCCGCGGUAAUACGGAAGGUCCGGGCGUUAUCCGGAGUUAUUGGGUUUAAAGGGAGCGUAGGCUGUCUAUUAAGCGUGUUGUGAAAUGUAGGAGCUCAACUUCUAGAUUGCAGCGCGAACUGUCAGACUUGAGUGCGCACAACGUAGGCGGAAUUCAUGGUGUAGCGGUGAAAUGCUUAGAUAUCAUGAAGAACUCCGAUUGCGAAGGCAGCUUACGGGAGCGCAACUGACGCUGAAGCUCGAAGGUGCGGGUAUCGAACAGG